rnacentral:rRNA from 1 species
CGUACGGGUGAGUAACACGUGGGUGAUCUACCCUUUAGUGGGGAAUAACGCUGGGAAACCGGCGCUAAUACCGCAUAAGCUCGAGAGAGGAAAGCAGCAAUGCGCUGAAGGAGGAGCCCGCGGCCGAUUAGCUGGUUGGCAGGGUAAAAGCCUACCAAGGCAUAGAUCGGUAGCUGGUCUGAGAGGAUGGCCGGCCACACUGGAACUGAGACACGGUCCAG